AAAGUCGUAACAAGGUUUCCGUAGGUGAACCUGCGGAAGGAUCAUUACCUGGCCUAGGCCGCUGCUCGUCGGCGUGCCGCUCGUGCCUAUUACCUUGACUAUGCGCACCUAUGUUGUUCCCUCGGCAGUUCGCUGCCGCUAGGGACCCCUUAAACCCUUAUGUAAUACAGUACACUUCUGAAAACAAACCUAAUUAUUUUACAACUUUCAACAAUGGAUCUCUUGGUUCUG
rnacentral:misc_RNA from 1 species